rnacentral:rRNA from 1 species
CCUACGGGGCGCUGCAGUGGGGAAUAUUGGACAAUGGGCGAAAGCCUGAUCCAGCCAUGCCGCGUGUGUGAAGAAGGCCUUCGGGUUGUAAAGCACUUUCAGUGGGGAAGAAAGCCUUGGGGCUAAUACCCUCGAGGAAGGACAUCACCCACAGAAGAAGCACCGGCUAACUCCGUGCCAGCAGCCGCGGUAAUACGGAGGGUGCGAGCGUUAAUCGGAAUUACUGGGCGUAAAGCGCGCGUAGGCGGUCUGAUAAGCCGGUUGUGAAAGCCCCGGGCUCAACCUGGGAACGGCAUCCGGAACUGUCAGGCUAGAGUGCAGGAGAGGAAGGUAGAAUCCCCGGUGUAGCGGUGAAAUGCGUAGAGAUCGGGAGGAAUACCAGUGGCGAAGGCGGCCUUCUGGACUGACACUGACGCUGAGGUGCGAAAGCGUGGGUAGCAAACAGGAUUAGAUACCCGAGUAGUC